rnacentral:rRNA from 1 species
AUCAACGCUGGCGGCGUGCCUAACACAUGCAAGUCGAACGCGAAAGCCCCGCAAGGGGUAAGUAGAGUGGCAAACGGGUGCGUAACACGUGGGUGACCUGCCUUCGAGUGGGGGAUAACGUCCCGAAAGGGACGCUAAUACCGCAUGACAUCCUGCUUUUGAAAAAGCGGAGAUCAAAGCUGGGGAUCGCAAGACCUAGCGCUUGAAGAGGGGCCCGCGCCUGAUUAGCUAGUUGGUGAGGUAACGGCUCACCAAGGCGACGAUCAGUAUCCGGCCUGAGAGGGCGGACGGACACACUGGGACUGAGACACGGCCCAGACUCCUACGGGAGGCAGCAGUGGGGAAUUGUUCGCAAUGGGCGCAAGCCUGACGACGCAACGCCGCGUGGAGGACGAAGAUCUUCGGGUCGUAAACUCCUGUCGAGCGGGACGAACGCUUCGCGGAUGAAUAAUCCGCGGAAUUGACGGUACCGCUAAAGGAAGCCCCGGCUAACUCCGUG